AAGCUGUCUUAGGUUGCUGCAGGCAGCUGGAAGGGGAGUAUAAGGCAGGCUGUGCUCCCCUUGGGAAAGGUUCUGGUUCAAGAGAGAUGAUUUUGCAAUCACACUCUGAUCAUUGAGCCAUUGCUUAUAUGCUCCUGGCUGAGAGAGGGCUUCUGAAGGGCAAAUGUAAAGCCCAGUGAGCUGCUGUCAGCCUUGCUGCAGGGGGAGAUGUUGAAGAACGCCAGAGCAGAGACGUCCCACUCCUCGUCCCAUUGUUCCUGUCACUUCACUCCCGGAGGCACUGCCUUCCUUACCUUCAGAGUCUAAAUACACAGGACCCACAAUUCUUCACACUCAGCAUCCAGAGCAGCUUCAAUCAAAUCUUCAACCACUGUUGUGUAAUACAUUUUGUGAAUGUAGGAAUAAGACUGAUGGAGAGAGAGAGUAAGAAUGACAGUGACACAUCUCUGAGGAAAAAGAAAGCCUUCCCUUUUUCCUCAUACCCGGAAACUAAAUAUAAGUCACUACUUUCCCUUACUGCUUUCAUCCAUGUCCAGUUAGCAGACUGGCGAGAGGUGCUCCAAAAACAUGAGAGGGAAAGUGUUUUUUUGGGCAUAUGCUGAGAGCUAAGGCUAAUUUAGGGGCCAUUAUUUAGCCUGGCCAGACAUUGUCCACAUCUAUAGUCCCCAGCGUGACUGGCUGUCUGCACUGCGAUUACAACAUCAACACACAGGGCUCGGCCGGUUGUGCAGCAAUCACUGUGGAAGCCUUUAACUCAUAGGCGGUCCAGACAUUGAAGAAAACACAUCCCAUAAUGCACCUCCUAGCUGUGAGCGUUUGAAGGAAUGGAGUCCGAACACCAGCAGCCAAACGCAGUUGCCAUAGCUGCACCAUUACUUAUUAGGAUUGGCACUUUGUUUUCCACAUGGGAGGUAAGAGCACUGCUGCUCUAUAGGGCUCUGUUGAUUACUGCUGUCUCUCCACUGGGACAGAAAAGAGAAACACACAGAAUACAAUGAAAUGAUUCAUGAGGAAGUCACUUAUAGAUUAAAGGUGCUUAUAAAUCAUGUAUAUUUUCUGUUUUUCUUUUGCUUACAGGUCUGUUUUUAGAGAGAAUCUGUGGUGGCAGCUUUAGUUUGGAACAGACAGCUGUGCUAUUUUUAAGGCCCUGCAAUGAUCUGUUUGGAAGGUAGAUGCACAUCCAUAGUUAUUAUGCAACAAAUUUCAUUCAUCUCUCAGUGUUUCUUAUUUUUACAUCAGGAAGUGUCCCAGUAUUAUGGUUUUACUAUUGAUAUCAUGAAAUUUGGCUUAUAUCAGUGCUACCUGAAUAAAUCCUUUUCAGGCUGGUUCAUGGCACAACUGGGCUAAAUACCUCAGA